GACCUGGUAGCACAAAGUCAGUGCGUCUGCAUAUAGUGUGAUGUUGCUUGUCUGCAGAUGAUCCCCGUUCGAUUCGGGGUCAGGUCA